CAAAAGGGCUGUGUGAGCCUGAGCAGGCAAGGCCUAAUUAAAAUCCUUUAACAGAGAGAGAAAGAGAGGGGCACAUGGAGCUGGGCUGGGAUUGUAAAGGAGGCUGUCAGUGAGUUGGGGCGUCGACAGCCACACACAGACUCUGUGACAGCUCUCCAGAGCAGCUACCACAUACGCCAUUUGCUCAGAGGGCCUUAAUUGGGUCUUUGAUGUCCCUUAGAAAGGUGGCAAAGAGAUGGAAAUGUUAUCGCCGCCCACUUUCAUACUGCCUACCAGCUUAGAUUGUUUAUGAUUUACAAAAGAUGUGCUUCUACUGCUUGCUGUCUUUUUUCACCUACCUCUUUCUCUCUUGGGUCAGGAUGGUCGAUUAGUGAGGUCAACAACAGCCCAAGAUUGCAUCGGCUCACACCAUUGGCUCAACCAAAGGUGGGGGCGGGACUAUUUGUUUGUCCAAACAAUGGAAAUGUUGGCCGAAACAUUGAAGGAGGGACCCAUACUCAACUGUGUGGUGUGAUGUGGAUUCAGUGCAGUGGUCUCCUGUUGUGUGUGAGGUGUGAAAGGCACUGCACACUUCUUGAGGAGUUGAGGACAGAUUGA
rnacentral:lncRNA from 12 species